AGUCGAGGGGUAGAAGGAGCUUGCUCCUUUGAGACCGGCGCACGGGUGCGUAACGCGUAUGCAAUCUACCUUGUACAGGGGGAUAGCCCAGAGAAAUUUGGAUUAAUACCCCAUAGUAUUUUCAGAUGGCCUCAUUUGAUUAUUAAAGUUCCAACGGUACAAGAUGAGCAUGCGUCCCAUUAGCUAGUUGGUGUGGUAACGGCAUACCAAGGCAACGAUGGGUAGGGGUCCUGAGAGGGAGAUCCCCCACACUGGUACUGAGACACGGACCAGACUCCUACGGGAGGCAGCAGUGAGGAAUAUUGGUCAAUGGGCGCAAGCCUGAACCAGCCAUGCCGCGUGCAGGAUGACGGUCCUAUGGAUUGUAAACUGCUUUUGUACAGGAAGAAACCCUCCCUUGUAAGGGAGCUUGACGGUACUGUAAGAAUAAGGAUCGGCUAACUCCGUGCCAGCAGCCGCGGUAAUACGGAGGAUCCAAGCGUUAUCCGGAAUCAUUGGGUUUAAAGGGUCCGUAGGCGGUUUUAUAAGUCAGUGGUGAAAUCUGGUCGCUCAACGAUCAAACGGCCAUUGAUACUGUAAGACUUGAAUUACUUGGAAGUAACUAGAAUAUGUAGUGUAGCGGUGAAAUGCUUAGAGAUUACAUGGAAUACCGAUUGCGAAAGGCAGGUUACUACGAGUAUAUUGACGCUGAUGG
rnacentral:rRNA from 1 species